CAUUUCUAGUUUAAUGAUAGGAGAAUACUAGUUUGUCGUACUGGAGGUGGUUGUUUGGACCGAAAUGGGU
rnacentral:tRNA from 1 species